UGGGGAAUAUUGCACAAUGGGCGCAAGCCUGAUGCAGCCAUGCCGCGUGUGUGAAGAAGGCCUUCGGGUUGUAAAGCACUUUCAGCGAGGAGGAAGGUGGUGAACUUAAUACGUUCAUCAAUUGACGUUACUCGCAGAAGAAGCACCGGCUAACUCCGUGCCAGCAGCCGCGGUAAUACGGAGGGUGCAAGCGUUAAUCGGAAUUACUGGGCGUAAAGCGCACGCAGGCGGUUUGUUAAGUCAGAUGUGAAAUCCCCGGGCUCAACCUGGGAACUGCAUUUGAAACUGGCAAGCUAGAGUCUCGUAGAGGGGGGUAGAAUUCCAGGUGUAGCGGUGAAAUGCGUAGAGAUCUGGAGGAAUACCGGUGGCGAAGGCGGCCCCCCUGGACGAAGACUGACGCUCAGGUGCGAAAGCGUGGGGCAGCAAACAGGAUUAGAUACCCUGAUAGUCCACGCUGUAAACGAUGUCGAUUUGGAGGUUGUGCCCUUGAGGCGUGGNUUCCGGAGCUAACGCGUUAAAGUCGACCGCCUGGGGGAGUACGGCNCAAGGUUAAAACUCAAAUGAAUUG
rnacentral:rRNA from 1 species